UACGAAGGGGGCUAGCGUUGCUCGGAAUCACUGGGCGUAAAGCGCACGUAGGCGGCUUUUUAAGUCAGAGGUGAAAUCCUGGAGCUCAACUCCAGAACUGCCUUUGAUACUGGAGAGCUUGAGUCCGGGAGAGGUGAGUGGAACUGCGAGUGUAGAGGUGAAAUUCGUAGAUAUUCGCAAGAACACCGGUGGCGAAGGCGGGUCUCUGGGCCAAAACUGACGCUGAGGAGCGAAAGCGUGGGGAGCGAACAGG
rnacentral:rRNA from 1 species